rnacentral:lncRNA from 1 species
GUAUGAGUGAAUAUCGUUUAGUGUGUACUUAAUCAAAUAAUGUUCAAUUUGGUAUUCAGUCUUUAAAUUGGUUGGCCAAAAAUUUUACUUUAAACUAUUUUGAUAUGGGUCCGAAUUCUCUCCUGCUGACUACUUACAAGUCUCUCAACUCUGUGUGUGUCUCUCUCUUUUUCUCUUUAUCCUCUGUCCAUUUCUUUGCCUAAUAUGUAGCAAUAAUAUCACAUGCCUUGUAUAGUUAUGCUUUUCAUCUGCUGGUCGUUGUUGUAGUUUUGUCUCUCAUUAGUUGCUUCUUACCUGCCUUGUUUUGCCGCAUCCAUUUAACAUAUUGACUACCGAUCGUAAAAUAUA